AUUUUUUUUUUUCAUUUACAUUAGCCGUUAACUAUCGCAGUGGUGGUAUAGUGACAAUAAUGACAACUAAGUAUAAGUAUACCAGUAUAGGUAAGUAAUAGCUUUACGUUUUCACAGUAUUAUAAUCACUUCGAGACCGGAAAAGGGACCGCGAGCAAUAAUAAUAAUACUAACGGGUGUUUUUGAAGCGGUGACGAUUUUUAUAGUGGUUUUCCGUGUUAUUCGCAAACGUUUACGAGCAAUUGAUCGAAAAGGUCUUUGGGAAAUUACGGCGAAUGGCGUUUUGCCGCAGAGGUGUUGGCGACCGAGGAUAAAAAAAAAAAAAAAAAUAAUAUAUGUAUAAAACAUGCGUAUACACAUAUAAGUAAACGCGCAAUACUUUGUACGUCU